UGCCUUAGUAGCGGCGAGUGAAGCGGCAAAAGCUCAAAUUUGAAAUCUGGCGCCUUCGGUGUCCGAGUUGUAAUUUGAAGAUUGUAACCUUGGGGUUGGCUCUUGUCUAUGUUUCUUGGAACAGGACGUCACAGAGGGUGAGAAUCCCGUGCGAUGAGAUGCCCAAUUCUAUGUAAGGUGCUUUCGAAGAGUCGAGUUGUUUGGGAAUGCAGCUCUAAGUGGGUGGUAAAUUCCAUCUAAAGCUAAAUAUUGGCGAGAGACCGAUAGCGAACAAGUACAGUGAUGGAAAGAUGAAAAGAACUUUGAAAAGAGAGUGAAAAAGUACGUGAAAUUGUUGAAAGGGAAGGGUUUGAGAUCAGACUCGAUAUUUUGUGAGCCUUGCCUUCGUGGCGGGGUGACCCGCAGCUUAUCGGGCCAGCAUCGGUUUGGGCGGUAGGAUAAUGGCGUAGGAAUGUGACUUUACUUCGGUGAAGUGUUAUAGCCUGCGUUGAUGCUGCCUGCCUAGACCGAGGACUGCGAUUUUAUCAAGGAUGCUGGCAUAAUGAUCCCAAACCGCCCGUCUUGAAACACGGACCAAGGAGUCUAACGUCUAUGCGAGUGUUUGGGUGUUAAACCCGUACGCGUAAUGAAAGUGAACGUAUGUGAGGGCUCUUUUGAGUGCAUCAUCGACCGAUCCUGAUGU
rnacentral:rRNA from 1 species